GGGCUUGACAUCCCACGAAUCCCUUCGAAAGAAGGGAGUGCCCGCAAGGGAGCGCGGAGACAGGUGGUGCAUGGCUGUCGUCAGCUCGUGUCGUGAGAUGUUGGGUUAAGUCCCGCAACGAGCGCAACCCUCACCUCUUGUUGCCACCAGGUCAUGCUGGGCACUCUAGAGGAACUGCCCCGGUCAACGGGGAGGAAGGCGGGGAUGACGUCAAGUCAUCAUGCCCCUUACGUCCUGGGCUACACACGUGCUACAAUGGCCGGUACAAAGGGAUGCCACACCGCGAGGUAGAGCUAAACCCAAAAAGCCGGUCUAAGUUCAGAUUGGAGUCUGCAACUCGACUCCAUGAAGGAGGAAUCGCUAGUAAUUGCGUAUCAGCACGACGCGGUGAAUACGUUCCCGGGCCUUGUACACACCGCCCGUCACACCACGAAAGCCCGUUGUACUCGAAGUCGCUGAG
rnacentral:rRNA from 1 species